rnacentral:lncRNA from 1 species
UAGAAGUAAGAGUGUGCUGUGUGUAGAAACUGAAUGCUCAGACUUGACGAGGUAACCCUGGAAAAAGUGGGUGCAGUGUGGUUGUUGGCCUAAUUACCUUGUUCUUGUUGAAUUCAAAUCGUGCAGUUAGAAACAGGCAAUGAUUUGAGCAAACACAACAGAAACUUUCUUGAAGAAGCAAGAUGAAGCGAAAUGGAAGGGCAUGGAUCUGCUGAUUUAGUGUAAGCAGUAUUUAAAUGCAGUCUCGGUAAGUCUCACUGGAGGCUGGAUUGGGAAAGUCAGCAGAAAUGUACUUUGGUAGUGUGGUGUGAUGACUCCAAAAUUAUCAGCACACAUGAGAGAAUUCUUUAAGAGAGCAUUGCUGUGGAGAGGAGGAGGAGGAGAGAAGACAGAGGGCCUGGAAGAAAGUGGAAUCAAGUUUCUGAAAAUCAGAGCCUUUACAAAGAAGGUCCUUUAGAUACAAAUAACGUGCAAGCUUAUAAAAAGAGAGAAGUGGGUUUAGAAUUAGGAACUUGGAAUACCAGUGAGCUCCCAACAAUGAAACUUAGCAAAGGAAAAUACCUAUUGCUGUAGGAGCUCCAGUUGUGCCUUGAUAGUACAAUGGAGAAAGGCAGAAGCAAAAAGACGAAUCUAUUCUUCUUUCCAUUCAGGAAAGGACUCGCCUUCUCUUCUGACAACUGCCAGCUAGGUUUGUGCAAUGCAGCCCUUCAUGAGACCUGGAAGGAUGCUUGGUGGUAAACUGUCUUCAAGAAAGAACAGUUAAUUACAAAAAGCUUUAGAAUUUCUGCCUCCUUAAACAGCCUUUCAGAUAAAAGGGACAGACCAGUCUUUCUUACAUGAAUUUAAGUAAGAGUGUGAUCGCUGAAUAGAUCUGCAGGAUGGCAACAAGGACGGAGAUUUAUAUAAGAGCCUUAAGAACAGAGGUUUAUAAUUAAUUAGUCAGUGGUGAAGCGUUGGGAAGGAGAAGUAAAGGAGAGACCCACAGUGCUGCUUGCAGGUUAGUCUGAAGUGAAAGCUCUUGGGGUGUGGGCCAGGCUGACAGAGUUCUGCUAAAAGGAAAGAAAAAGCAUUAACCUGUGUUCAUGCCUGGAUUUAAUUCCACAAGACACUGCAGGACCUAAAGCAAACCAAUGGGGACCUAAGGUACAUCAAGUAACAUUUAACCAGUUGUAUGUUCUUUUUAUGACUUCUGUUUGUGAGGGAGAUAAAUGCAUGUCUGAGGCAAUAAAACAUUUCCC